UUAGCAGUGCUAAUUUGACAUUUCUUAUUCAUUCACUUGCCCCUUUUUUGCAAUAGGCACUUGAUGAUAAUGUCAAGUUAAAGCUCUCUCCGUUUUGCCAUGUUCCGGCCGAAAAUACUGUCACUCUCUAUGACGUUCCAAAUAUUUGGCACAUUCCUUUACUACUAAGAUAAUCUUGAAGAACAAACUUCAACAAAAAGCGGCUUCUUCAAUAGACUGGCAC